AGUGCGCCGCCGCGCCACUGACCCCGACCAAGCAGUCGCGCACCGCCGCCACCGCCCCCCGCCCCUCCGCCCCGGCGUCGCGCUCCGCCAAUGCCGGCCCCUGCCGCCGGGGCCACCCCUACCCGAAGUGCCCCAACCCCUGCGACUUUCCACCACCGGCGACGCACCUUCCCCAACUCAUCUCUCUCCUCAUCUUCUGCCACUGCCGCUCUCCAUCGGCUGGCCAACUCCCUCAGUUCUACCCCUCCCCACACGAGCACCUCCCAAUCCUCCUCCUCUGUGUGUGUGCGCGCGCACACAUGCUCAAUUCGGAUUCACCCCUUUUCUGGCUGCAGCAUAGAGGAGAGCUCACUUCUGCGGUGGGCAUUGAUAGUGGAGAGCUGGGAGCCGGCUAGAUCCUCGCCGACAAGGGCCGUCAUGGCCUCCACCUCUGCCCUGUUGCCGGUGGACUGCUGGACGUCGAUACAUCGAUACGGUCUCCUACAACUAGAGGAGCGAAAACUUACAGCAGCAUCUCUGACACCCUCCUGACCAUGACCACUAUGUUGACAAGAAAGGUUCAGCUGAUAAGACAAUUAUUUUUUGGGACCUUGGGACUUUUGACUUGAUUGGAUCCUCUGGACAGGAGAUGCGAGCUUCGUUUCUAAUUGGGCAUGAUGUCGGGCUCACUGUAUCAAUUGGAGCAUGCAUAGUAGUCUCUGAACAUUCUGGUUUAGAAUUCUAUUUUUGUUCGGCAACCAUCAAAACAGAGAGGUCACAAUUCCGUUCCGAUCACUUUAUGGACCUAUUUUGUAACGCCCUCGAUGCGGCUAUAUCUCCCACAUGUCGAAGCACGACUUAGAGGCAUAACCGCAUUGAAAGCUAUGUCGCAAGUGAGGUAAUCUUCA